CUUUGCAGAUGCUUGUAGAUCGAUAGUUGAUUGCGAUUUGUGUGUGAAAAGUGCAGGUUAAGGAGGGAAAAGAGAUGACCAGUGGGAUGCUGCUCGUGGAAUUCUUAGUAUCUGAUCUCAUCAAUUUUUUGGGUUUUCUUUUAUAGUGGUGCUGCAAUUGGACAUUUCUUUGGUUCUUUUCGCUCGCACGCUUGUCUCAUCAAUUUAUUGGAAGUGGUUCAGAAUUCCAUGUUCAGGAUGGAAAAAAACUACUUGAUUACGUGGCUGAACAUAUUCAAUAGCUCCAGUAGCUAUUAGCUGUUGAGGAGUUAGGUCUAUCUUUGCAAAUGCUAAUAUCAUCAAAGAAUGGAAGCAAGAGGUAGAGCAAUACCAAAGAAAAAUUCAGUUGUAAGCAAGUUCUUUACAAUAUAUUAUGAGUAUACAAGAGAGUUGCAGGUUUAAAUUGUAUUCACUGUUUCUGAAUUGUUUUGAGCUAUCUAUGUGAUU